GUGCCAGCCGCCGCGGUAAUACGUAGGGUGCAAGCGUUGUCCGGAAUUAUUGGGCGUAAAGAGCUCGUAGGCGGUCUGUCGCGUCGGCUGUGAAAACCCGGAGCUCAACUCCGGGCCUGCAGUCGAUACGGGCAAACUGGAGUGUUGCAGGGGAGACUGGAAUUCCUGGUGUAGCGGUGAAAUGCGCAGAUAUCAGGAGGAACACCGGUGGCGAAGGCGGGUCUCUGGGCAACAACUGACGCUGAGGAGCGAAAGCGUGGGGAGCGAACAGGAUUAGAUACCCGUGUAGUCC
rnacentral:rRNA from 1 species